rnacentral:rRNA from 1 species
UACGGAGGGGCUAGCGUUGUUCGGAAUUACUGGGCGUAAAGCGCACGUAGGCGGAUCGAUCAGUCAGGGGUGAAAUCCAGGGCUCAACCCUGGAACUGCCUUUGAUACUGUCGAUCUGGAGUAUGGAAGAGGUGAGUGGAAUUCCGAGUGUAGAGGUGAAAUUCGUAGAUAUUCGGAGGAACACCAGUGGCGAAGGCGGCUCACUGGUCCAUUACGUGACGCUGAGGUGCGAAAGCGUGGGGAGCAACAGGG